AUUGAACGCUGGCGGCAGGCCUAACACAUGCAAGUCGAGCGGCAGCGGAAAGUAGCUUGCUACUUUGCCGGCGAGCGGCGGACGGGUGAGUAAUGUCUGGGAAACUGCCUGAUGGAGGGGGAUAACUACUGGAAACGGUAGCUAAUACCGCAUAACGUCGCAAGACCAAAGAGGGGGACCUUCGGGCCUCUUGCCAUCAGAUGUGCCCAGAUGGGAUUAGCUAGUAGGUGGGGUAACGGCUCACCUAGGCGACGAUCCCUAGCUGGUCUGAGAGGAUGACCAGCCACACUGGAACUGAGACACGGUCCAGACUCCUACGGGAGGCAGCAGUGGGGAAUAUUGCACAAUGGGCGCAAGCCUGAUGCAGCCAUGCCGCGUGUAUGAAGAAGGCCUUAGGGUUGUAAAGUACUUUCAGCGGGGAGGAAGGUGUUGAGGUUAAUAACCUCAGCAAUUGACGUUACCCGCAGAAGAAGCACCGGCUAACUCCGUGCCAGCAGCCGCCGUAA
rnacentral:rRNA from 1 species